rnacentral:lncRNA from 1 species
CUUGUUUCCUGGAAGCUUAGAUCUUUCAUUGGUAUCAUUAAUUCUUCAGUUAAAAACUUUAGCAACAAAUAAAACAAAACGUAUUGUCUUUCAAGUGUUUUAUUAAAAUGCUUUGUUUUCGAAGGAGCGGCAGACUUCGUAUCGGUGAACAUACAUAUAAAACUGUUUACUUUAUUAUAAUGAGCAGAGGACAUUUUAAGAAACUCGUUGACAAGUAAUGACUUUUUCAGAACCAUCCCCAGAGAUACGAAAAACUAGUUUCAUUAUUCUGACACUGCAAUCAACCAACGAAAAAUUCGUUGGCUCCAGCGGGAUUUGAACUCGCAUCUUCGGGUAUCUAGAGCGGCGGUCUAGGGUAGAGCGGCGGUCUAGAUACCCGAAGAUGCGAGUUCAAAUCCCCGCUCGAUCCAACGAAUUUUUCGUUGGUUGAUUGCAGAGUCAGAAUAAUAUGAAACUAGUAAUGACUUCAUCUGGUGGAAAAUAAAUGGUGAUAAGAAGCCGCGAGUGUUGGAAUUUUUAUCGAGACAAACAUUUGCCAUGGUUAGGUCACAGAAUAAAGACAUACAGAAGUGUAACUUCCAUUACAAAACCGUAAGGCGCUUUUUUACCGAAAUAGCUAGUGCCCUAAAGAGAGGCAUUCACCCCCCUGGAAUAUUAAAUUUUCAAUAUGUUUUCAGGGGGGUUACUGCCUCUCUUUAGGGCACUUGCUAACAACAUGGCGGACUGAAAAAGUCCCUUACGCGAAAUUAACCUGAAGUGAGAUCUCUGUAUGUACUUCCUCUGUGGUUAGGUUUAGAAAAGGCACAAAAUUUACACUCAAAAUUUCCGUCCCAAAAACGUUUCGACAUGCAGUUCUAUCACGUGAGAUGCCCAAAAUUCUGACAUUUUCCUAAUAAUUACUGUAAUCAGGGCUCAAAUUUACGGGAGAUACGUCUCCGGUCAAAAUGACCGGUCAACUUGAUUUUAACUUUACACUAACAGUGAAACAAACUAUUGGAAACUUGUUUCGAUACAUCACAGUUAAAUGUUUUAAUUCAAGACCUCAGCAAUCACAUUGCAAGGCAUGAAAAUGUGGCCGGUCAAAAUGACCGGUGAUGUAAAAAAGUGACCGGUCAAGAGGCAUUUUUGGUCAUUCUCCGUUGACCGGCCGUUAUUUUGAGCCCUGUUAAUACCGUGGAUCCAUUUAUAAUAAGAAAACCCCCAACAAAUAUAAAAAUGGUGGACUUUCGCUAUGUUUAUUAUUAUAAAGUUAAAUCGACCGUUCACAAUAUUACGUAAUGUUAACUGUUUUCAACUAAACACCAGUUCCCAUUGUUAGCUGGCUUAAAUCUUCUCGGCAUUCCUUGGGGAAAGAAUUUCUGCAUAAUAUUUUGAUUUUCUGCUAGGAACUCGAAUCUUUUUUUUAGUUUCUCAACAAAGUUUGCAGGUUCACAAUGCGGCGACGUUGAAAACGACUGCGAAGGGAGAGAGAAAUUGUUAGUUGGGGCAACUGGCAAAUGUACACGAGGCAUUAUAUUUUCCGCGGGUCAGUUUUGCAUUUCACUGAUUUCACUUGAUGGUGGUAAAAAACGAGCACGUUGUAACAAACCUGCAGCAGACUUGUAGCAAUGCUGUUCCAACAACAUGUCAUGCAUAAGAAUGUAUUCGCACCGCUUGUUCCCAGCUUGUUGACAAAUUGUCAAC